rnacentral:misc_RNA from 1 species
AAAUUCCCAAGGGAAACUUCUUCAUGAUGCCGAUCUUUAACAUCAAAAAAGGCUUGUUGAUUGUGUCUAUGCCUUGACCAUAGAAAGAGUCCAAUUCCAAGAACAAGCAAAGAAAUACAACCAAGAGUCGAGCCAAAUACAAGCGCAAUUUUAUGACCUUUUCGCUUCCCAGAAGGCGAAGAUUCUGAACCAUUCAAUGUCAUUGACAUAGGCAACAAUUGCAUUCCAUAGCAGUCUGGCUCAGACCCCGUCUCGCAGAUCAAUGGAUUUCCAACAAUGUUGAAUUUCUUGGGAGGGAACCUAGGUACCGGUCCACUCAAGUUAUUGAAGGAUAAG